AUUGAACGCUGGCGGCAGGCCUAACACAUGCAAGUCGAACGAGUGGCGGACGGGUAAGUAAUGUCUGGGAAACUGCCUGAUGGAGGGGGAUAACUACUGGAAACGGUAGCUAAUACCGCAUACCAUCGGAUGUGCCCUGAUGGGGUUAGCUAGUAGGUGGGGUAAAGGCUCACCUAGGCGACGAUCCCUAGCUGGUCUGAGAGGAUGACCAGCCACACUGGAACUGAGACACGGUCCAGACUCCUACGGGAGGCAGCAGUGGGGAAUAUUGCACAAUGGGCGCAAGCCUGAUGCAGCCAUGCCGCGUGUAUGAAGAAGGCCUUCGGGUUGUAAAGUACGUUCAGCGGGGAGGCGUUACCCGCAGAAGAAGCACCGGCUAACUACGUGCCAGCAGCCGCGGUAAUAC
rnacentral:rRNA from 1 species